rnacentral:rRNA from 1 species
GAUGAACGCUGGCGGCGUGCCUAAUACAUGCAAGUCGAGCGAACGGACGAGAAGCUUGCUUCUCUGAUGUUAGCGGCGGACGGGUGAGUAACACGUGGAUAACCUACCUAUAAGACUGGGAUAACUUCGGGAAACCGGAGCUAAUACCGGAUAAUAUUUUGAACCGCAUGGUUCAAAAGUGAAAGACGGUCUUGCUGUCACUUAUAGAUGGAUCCGCGCUGCAUUAGCUAGUUGGUAAGGUAACGGCUUACCAAGGCAACGAUGCAUAGCCGACCUGAGAGGGUGAUCGGCCACACUGGAACUGAGACACGGUCCAGACUCCUACGGGAGGCAGCAGUAGGGAAUCUUCCGAAAUGGGCGAAAGCCUGACGGAGCAACGCCGCGUGAGUGAUGAAGGUCUUCGGAUCGUAAAACUCUGUUAUUAGGGAAGAACAUAUGUAAGUAACUGUGCACAUCUUGACGGUACCUAAUCAGAAAGCCACGGCUAACUACGUG